GACCGUGUAGCUCAGUUGGCAGAGCAUUGGGCUAGUAUUCCAAAGGUCGUAGGUUCGAUUCCCACCGUGGUCA